GAUGAACGCUAGCGGGAGGCUUAACACAUGCAAGUCGAGGGGCAGCAUAGGGUAGCAAUACUCUGAUGGCGACCGGCAGACGGGUGAGUAACGCGUAUGUAACCUACCCUGUACAGGGGGAUAACCCGGAGAAAUUCGGACUAAUAUCCCAUGGAAAUAUUGAGAGGCAUCUUUUGAUAUUUAAAGUUCCGGCGGUACGGGAUGGGCAUGCGUAACAUUAGCUAGUUGGUAAGGUAACGGCUUACCAAGGCUUUGAUGUUUAGGGGUCCUGAGAGGGUGAUCCCCCACACUGGUACUGAGACACGGACCAGACUCCUACGGGAGGCAGCAGUGAGGAAUAUUGGUCAAUGGGCGCAAGCCUGAACCAGCCAUCCCGCGUGCAGGAAGACGGCGCUAUGCGUUGUAAACUGCUUUUCCAGGGGGAGAAACUUGCGUACGUGAUACGCAAUUGACGGUACCCUGGGAAUAAGCAUCGGCUAACUCCGUG
rnacentral:rRNA from 1 species